UGGGGCUGCUAGAGUCCGUGG
rnacentral:piRNA from 1 species